rnacentral:lncRNA from 1 species
UGACACCACAGCUGCCAACACUCAGCGAGGUGUGGAUGGAUGCUGCCUCCUGCCGCAGCUGCUCCAUGGCCAGCCAGGGCUGCUGGUGGGAAGCCCGUGCAGAGCAGGGCAGGAGGGCUGGGCCGGGGCUGCCGGCCCCCAGCACCGCUCAGCCUUCAGGGCUGAGCAGCGCUUGUGCUUGGCACAGGGAAGCAGAGGUGCAGAAGCACUUAUCCACAGCCCUGAAAGAGGCUGCAGGCACAGUGAGCGUGGAGCUGGUGCUUGGCCUUGUGCGGCAACCUCUUGUGCUGGUCUCGUUUUCAGCAAAACCCCUCUGGGCUGGGAGGCAGCUGCCUGUGGUGCAGAGGGUGGGAGCCACAGCUGGCUGGGACCCUGGGGCAGCAUGACGCUGCUGCACAGGAGACAGAGAGGGGCAACUGGGAAGGGAACUACCCCCCUGCUUCUGCUGUCUGGAAGUUUUCCUCGGCUUAAAGUAACACCAGACCAUCACCAGAUCAUGUCUCUGUGCAGUAGUGGAGUGCUCCCCUCCCUGCAAGCAUGGCAAAAAAAAAAAAAAAAAAAAGUGAUGACGAUCAGGCUAUGCAUCAUUUAGAUACAACAAAUGCUUUUAUAAAUGUCAAUAACAGCAUAAUUGAAGUGUCCAGCCUGGCCUUGCCACUUCUGCUUGCCUUACUGGAGGCAGAGGCCGCUUGUCCAGCAGGGGAGCAGCUCCAGAGGGGCCGCAGCUGCUGCCUGGCAGGGCUCAGGGGCUACAGCUGCUGGGCAGCUCACAAAGAGAAGGGGCCAGGGCCGGGUGCUGCUGAGGGUUGUGCCCUGCCCGUUCUGGAGGCUAACGGUGCAGGGGCUUGUUCUCCAGGGACCCUUCUACACACCUCAGACCCUUCGGCAGGAAAUCUUUGCUGUGCAGAGGCUGCUGCGUGCUGCUGCUGCAAUAAAGGGGAGACACGGCUCCAGCACCAGCAGAGCAACAGAAGCAGGUUUUCCCUUCCAGCACUGAGGUUUUUGGAGGCUCCUUCUCGUCUGGAUGAGCUUAUCCCCCUUCCAGGAGAAGCUCCUCUAGCAUACUAA